rnacentral:rRNA from 1 species
AUUGAACGCUGGCGGCAGGCCUAACACAUGCAAGUCGAGCGGUUGAAGGGAGCUUGCUCCUGGAUUCAGCGGCGGACGGGCGAGUAAUUCCUAGGAAUCUGCCUGGCAGUUGGGGAUAACGUCCGGAAACGGGCGCUAAUAUCGCACACGUUCUGAGGUAGAAAGUGGGGGAUCUUGGGUCCUAACGCCAUUAGAUUAACCUAGGUCGGAUUAGCUAGUUGGUGGGGUAAAGGCCUACCAAGGGGACGAUCCGUGACUGGUCUGAGAGGAUGAUCAGUCACACUGGAACUGAGACACGGUCCAGACUCCUACGGGAGGCAGCAGUGGGGAAUAUUGGACAAUGGGCGAAAGCCUGAUCCAGCCAUGCCGCGUGUGUGAAGAAGGUCUUCGGAUUGUAAAGCACUUUAAGUUGGGAGGAAGGGCAGUAAGUUAAUACCUUGCUGUUUUGACGUUACCAACAGAAUAAGCACCGGCUAACUUCGUG